GACUUCAUAGGCCAGGUUGGCGACGCGUAUUCUUGGGGAAUUAACACACAUUUGCGCUGUUAUUGCUUGAGAAUACACGUAGUUUGCCUGGUCGUUCACU